rnacentral:rRNA from 1 species
UGGGGAAUAUUGCACAAUGGGCGAAAGCCUGAUGCAGCAACGCCGCGUGAGUGAUGAAGGCCUUCGGGUUGUAACGCUCUGUCUUCUGGGACGAUAAUGACGGUACCAGAGGAGGAAGCCACGGCUAACUACGUGCCAGCAGCCGCGGUAAUACGUAGGUGGCAAGCGUUGUCCGGAUUUACUGGGCGUAAAGGAUGCGUAGGCGGAUACUUAAGUCAGAUGUGAAAAUCCCGGGCUUAACUUGGGAACUGCAUUUGAAACUGGGUAUCUAGAGUGCGGGAGAGGAAAGUGGAAUUCCUCGUGUAGCAGUGAAAUGCGUAGAGAUUAGGAAGAACACCAGUGGCGAAGGCGACUUUCUGGACCGUAACUGACGCUGAGGCAUGAAAGCUUGGGGAGCAA